rnacentral:rRNA from 1 species
UGAACGCUAGCUACAGGCUUAACACAUGCAAGUCGAGGGGCAUCAGGAAGAAAGCUUGCUUUCUUUGCUGGCGACCGGCGCACGGGUGAGUAACACGUAUCCAACCUGCCCUUUACUCGGGGAUAGCCUUUCGAAAGAAAGAUUAGUACCCGAUGGCAUAAUGAUUCCGCAUGGUUUCAUUAUUAAAGGAUUCCGGUAAAGGAUGGGGAUGCGUUCCAUUAGGUUGUUGGUGAGGUAACGGCUCACCAAGCCUUCGAUGGAUAGGGGUUCUGAGAGGAAGGUCCCCCACAUUGGAACUGAGACACGGUCCAAACUCCUACGGGAGGCAGCAGUGAGGAAUAUUGGUCAAUGGGCGCUAGCCUGAACCAGCCAAGUAGCGUGAAGGAUGAAGGCUCUAUGGGUCGUAAACUUCUUUUAUAUAAGAAUAAAGUGCAGUAUGUAUACUGUUUUGUAUGUAUUAUAUGAAUAAGGAUCGGCUAACUCCGUGCCAGCAGCCGCGGUAAUACGGAGGAUCCGAGCGUUAUCCGGAUUUAUUGGGUUUAAAGGGAGCGUAGGUGGACUGGUAAGUCAGUUGUGAAAGUUUGCGGCUCAACCGUAAAAUUGCAGUUGAUACUGUCAGUCUUGAGUACAGUAGAGGUGGGCGGAAUUCGUGGUGUAGCGGUGAAAUGCUUAGAUAUCACGAAGAACUCCGAUUGCGAAGGCAGCUCACUGGACUGCAACUGACACUGAUGCUCGAAAGUGUGGGUAUCAAACAGGAUUAGGAUACCCUGGUAGUCCACACAGUAAACGAUGAAUACUCGCUGUUUGCGAUAUACAGUAAGCGGCCAAGCGAAAGCAUUAAGUAUUCCACCUGGGGAGUACGCCGGCAACGGUGAAACUCAAAGGAAUUGACGGGGGCCCGCACAAGCGGAGGAACAUGUGGUUUAAUUCGAUGAUACGCGAGGAACCUUACCCGGGCUUAAAUUGCAGUGGAAUGAUGUGGAAACAUGUCAGUGAGCAAUCACCGCUGUGAAGGUGCUGCAUGGUUGUCGUCAGCUCGUGCCGUGAGGUGUCGGCUUAAGUGCCAUAACGAGCGCAACCCUUAUCUUUAGUUACUAACAGGUUAUGCUGAGGACUCUAGAGAGACUGCCGUCGUAAGAUGUGAGGAAGGUGGGGAUGACGUCAAAUCAGCACGGCCCUUACGUCCGGGGCUACACACGUGUUACAAUGGGGGGUACAGAAGGCAGCUAGCGGGUGACCGUAUGCUAAUCCCAAAAGCCUCUCUCAGUUCGGAUCGAAGUCUGCAACCCGACUUCGUGAAGCUGGAUUCGCUAGUAAUCGCGCAUCAGCCACGGCGCGGUGAAUACGUUCCCGGGCCUUGUACACACCGCCCGUCAAGCCAUGGGAGCCGGGGGUGCCUGAAGUACGUAACCGCAAGGAUCGUCCUAGGGUAAAACUGGUGAAUG